ACGGGAGGCAGCAGUGGGGAAUAUUGGGCAAUGGGCGAAAGCCUGGCCCAGCAACGCCGCGUGAAGGAAGAAGGUCUUCGGAUUGUAAACUUCUUUUAUGAGGGACGAAGGACGUGACGGUACCUCAUGAAUAAGCCACGGCUAACUACGUGCCGGCAGCCGCGGUAAUACGUAGGUGGCAAGCGUUAUCCGGAUUUACUGGGUGUAAAGGGCGCGUAGGCGGGGAGACAAGUCAGGUGUGAAAUCUAUGGGCUUAACCCAUAAACUGCAUUUGAAACUGUAUCUCUUGAGUGCUGGAGAGGUAGAUGGAAUUCCCUGUGUAGCGGUGAAAUGCGUAGAUAUAAGGAAGAACACCAGUGGCGAAGGCGAUCUACUGGACAGUAACUGACGCUGAGGCGCGAAAGCGUGGGGAGCAAACAGGAUUAGAUACCCUGGUA
rnacentral:rRNA from 1 species